GCCGAUGUAGCUCAGCUGGUCAGAGCAGCUGAUUUGUAAUCAGCAGGUCGUGGGUUCGAAUCCCUCCAUCGGCU
rnacentral:tRNA from 2 species